GUCUGAUGUUUCAUGUCUCAUGCUUUGUAUGAUAUAAGCAGUUUUGAUGCCAUUCAUCAUCUUCAUCGUGUAUGCAAGCUUCAUUUCUCUGUGUUGGAGUUGGAUAUUGAAAAGUCCGAUUACUCCUAAUUUGCUGUUAUAUUUCCGUAGUUUCAGGUUACGGGAUCUACUACUUUGAUUAAAAGGCUAAAUUCUCUGCACACGGCCUACUUUCAGUUGAUAUCCAGAUGGCAAAGGAGAAAUACUAUGUUGUUCUUGUGGGCCGUCGACCGGGCAUUUAUCUGAUGUGGGACGAUGCUAGACUAGAGGUUGAAGGAUUUAGCGGAGGGAGACACCGGGCAUUCAAGAAUUGGAGGGAAGCGGUUUCCUGCUGGGAGAGUUACUUCGGUGGGACUGGUGCACAAUUGCGGCCUGUGAUAGAAACUCAUGCGGUUCAUGUCAUCGCACAGUUAGACGAGGUCGACAUCCAUCGUUUGUUGACUUCGUCUAUCCAUCAGUCGACCCAUGGCAGGGUUUCCACGUCCACAAUGACUGAUGAUCUUGUCCCAUCCUGUGGAGAGAGUUUCUGUGGACUUUUGAUUGGCAUUCUCGUUAUUUUCUUCGCCCUGCUUAUCAUUAUUAAAUUCUAGCUGUAGAAGUUCUGUAACAUAAUGAAUAUUAUUUUUUGG